AAAUAUUUCAUUGACGUACAUAGUUAGCUAUACCAAUUAAACUACAUAUGGUAGCUUACACACAUUGUGCAAAUGGACUAACCUUAAUAAACUUUCAAAAAGCUUAUCUACCCCAAGGGUAGUCCAAGAACACUUACCUCAGCGUUCAACCUUUCACAACACCAAUGUCCUAUAUUACACUUAGCUAGGAAACUAGGCCAUAGAAAACAGUAAAAGGAGCGGCAAAAUUGGUGCCAGCAGUCGCGGUUAUACCAAUACUCCAAGCUAAUUAAAACAAAUCGGGAUAACUACUUAACCUAAAAAGACUAUAAAAUUAACUUUUAACGUAAAAAAUAAAUUAAAACUAAACCCAAUCCAGUCAUUACCUAGUUACCCCAACAAACCACAACCUCAGAACUCGGAUUAGAUACCCGACUACUGUGUGGCCCAACACAAAAAAAGAAUACUACGAGCGAAAGCUUAAACCUCAAACAAUGUGGCGGUGCUUUACUCCUUAUCAGGGGAUCCUGUGGCUUAAUUCGAUAAUCCACGAAAAUCUUAGCUUAUUUCUUGUACUUCAGCUUGUGUAUGGCCGUUUAUGCUUGCUCAAAGAAGAAAAAAAAGGAAGCAAUAGAGCCUUUAGCUCAAAAAUUCAGGUGACAUACAGCCAAUGAAAAGCAGAUCUAUGGGAUACAAAUAAACACACUAGCGAACUUAGGGUUUCAAAACCCUAACAAAGGAGGACUUGAAAGUAAGGUUUUUAGCUUACAUAAAAUAAAUCUGAACAAGAACUAAAGCGCGCACAAAUCGCCCGUCACUCCGACAAUAAAGUAGGAUAAGUCGUAACAUAGUAGGGGUAAUGGAAAUUGCCCCUAUCACA
rnacentral:rRNA from 1 species